CAAAUAGGGUUAAGUGACUUGCCCAAGCUCUCACAGCUAUGCAGCCAAGCCUAGGUUCUUUUCCAAGGGAGUGGCCAUAGACUCUGGAGAUUAGUGACACUCACUCUGGCCUGACCAAAGUCAUGGUCCUGCUCGGUGUCUUCCCUGAAUGGACCCUCAAAAAGUGCUGGUGUCCCCUCCUCAAAGUAACGGGUCCCCUGGGGACUGCAUGUGGAAUGACAGGUCCCUGAACUCCACCAGGACCCCUGUACGACGAGGAGCUCCUACAUCAAGGGAAGGCACAUGGCUCGCUCAGGAGCCGCCUCCCAUUGCAGCUGGUUCAGUGUCCGCCGCACAAGAGCUGCGUCGCAGCCCAUGGAGUCAGCCAGCUCUAUGACAUUGAA